rnacentral:rRNA from 1 species
AUUGAACGCUGGCGGCAUGCCUUACACAUGCAAGUCGAACGGUAACGCGGGGCAACCUGGCGACGAGUGGCGAACGGGUGAGUAAUGCAUCGGAACGUGCCCAGUAGUGGGGGAUAGCCCGGCGAAAGCCGGAUUAAUACCGCAUACGACCUAAGGGCGAAAGGGGGGGAUCGCAAGACCUCUCGCUAUUGGAGCGGCCGAUGUCAGAUUAGGUAGUUGGUGGGGUAAAGGCCUACCAAGCCGACGAGCUGUAGCAGGUCUGAGAGGACGACCCGCCACACUGGGACUGAGACACCGCCCAGACUCCUACUGGAGGCAACAGUGGGGAAUUUUGGACAAUGGCCGCAAGUGUGAUCCAGCCAUGCCGCGUGCGGGAAGAAGGCCUUCGGGUUGUAAACCGCUUUUGUCAGGGAAGAAAUCUUCUGGGUUAAUACCUCGGGAGGAUGACGGUACCUGAAGAAUAAGCACCGGCUAACUACGUGCCAGCAGCCGCGGUAA